GACAGAGGCCUCAAGCGUUAGGCGGAAUCACUGGGCUUAAAGCGUGUGUAGGCGGAUCGUUAAGUGUCUUGUGAAAUCCCACGGCUCACCCGUGGAACUGCUGGGCAUACUGGCGAUCUUGGGCCAACUAGGGCAACUGGAACAAGCGGUGGAGCGGUGAAAUGCGUAGAUAUCGCUUGGAACGCCGAAGGUGAAAACAGGUUGCUGGGUUGUGCCGACGCUGAGACACGAAAGCCAGGGAGCAAACGGG
rnacentral:rRNA from 1 species